ensembl:snRNA U6 U6 spliceosomal RNA
GUGCUUGCUUCAGCAGCACAUAUACUAAAAUUGGAAUGAUACAGAGAUUAGCAUGGCUCCUGUGCAAGGAUGACAUGCAAAUUCGUGAAGCGUCCCAUAUUUUU